rnacentral:rRNA from 1 species
GGCUCAGGAUGAACGCUAGCUACAGGCUUAACACAUGCAAGUCGAGGGGAAACGAUAUUGGAAGCUUGCUUCUGAUAGGCGUCGACCGGCGCACGGGUGAGUAACGCGUAUCCAACCUGCCCAUCACUUGGGGAUAACCUUGUGAAAGUAAGACUAAUACCCAAUGACGUCUCUAGAAGACAUCUGAAAGAGAUUAAAGAUUUAUCGGUGAUGGAUGGGGAUGCGUCUGAUUAGCUUGUUGGCGGGGUAACGGCCCACCAAGGCGACGAUCAGUAGGGGUUCUGAGAGGAAGGUCCCCCACAUUGGAACUGAGACACGGUCCAAACUCCUACGGGAGGCAGCAGUGAGGAAUAUUGGUCAAUGGACGAGAGUCUGAACCAGCCAAGUAGCGUGCAGGAUGACGGCCCUAUGGGUUGUAAACUGCUUUUAUAAGGGAAUAAAGUGGGAGUCGUGACUCUUUUUGCAUGUACCUUAUGAAUAAGGACCGGCUAAUUCCGUG